CUACAGUCUUUCUUCAUGUGACUCGUGGACUUCCCUUUGUCAUCCUAUGCCUGAGAAUAUAUGAAGGAGGCUGGGAAGGCAAAGGGACGUUCAAUUGUCAUCACCGGCAUCUUUUUUGAU
rnacentral:pre_miRNA from 8 species